rnacentral:rRNA from 1 species
CACCCGCAGCUCGAGUGGUGGUCACUUUUAUUGAGCCUAAAGCGUUCGUAGCCGGUUUUGUAAAUCCUCAGACAAAUUCUCCUGCUUAACGGGAGAUACUCUGGAGAGACUGCGAAACUAGGGACCGGGUGAGGUUGAAGGUACUUCUGGGGUAGGGGUAAAAUCCUGUAAUCCUGGAAGGACGACCAGUGGCGAAGGCGUUCAACUAGAACGGAUCCGACGGUGAGGAACGAGGGCUAGGGGAGCAAACCGG